AUGCAGGAGAACUAUGAGAAUGUGACUUCACGGGCCCUUUCCCGGAGGGGAGGUGAAAGGCUUGAGGUACCCCAGAGGAAGAAUUCUCAAGUGCUCCUUCCUGGUCCAAGGGUUUGGGGUUUUUUGGCAUUUGGGUGGUGGCACAUUUACCAGCCAAGGUCAGAGAAAAGCUUAACUUGGGGGUUUAAUACAAGCCUAGAGUUGCACAAAUUAAUUUAGAAUCCUGGCGGCCCCCACUUUCUGCACUUGACGAGUGGAGAUUCGCCCUGACACAUACUAUGAACAAAUUGAUCCUAAUUUUCUAGAAGAGUGAACAUAGGGCACAGACUUGCACAGUGUCUGUGUGUUCCCA